rnacentral:tRNA from 1 species
GGGGGUGUGGUGGAAUGGUAGACACAACAGACUUAAAAUCUGUUGACUACUUUGGUCGUGAGGGUUCGAGUCCCUCCACCCCCA